CCUAUAGACUACAUGCUCAUUAGAGUAAAGUAGUGUUCAAAUAAAAUAUUCUCUGGGAAGUGGUAUCAAUACCAUAACUAUUCUCUGGGGUAGUGGGUAUCAAUACAUAACUAUUCUCUGGGGAAGUGGGUAUCUAAUCCAAACUAUUUCUCUGGGGAAGUGGGUAUCAAUACCAUAACUAUUAUCUGGGGAAGUGGGUAUCAAUACCAUAACUAUUCUCUGGGGAAGUGGGUAUCAAUACCAUAACUAUUCUCUGGGGAAGUGGGUAUCAAUACAUAACUAUUCUCGGGGAAGGGGUAUCAUACCAUAACUAUUCUCUGGGGAAGUGGGUAUCAUACCCUAACUAUUCUCUGGGUAUCAAUACUUUUUUUAUUUUUUUUAUUUAUUUCACCUUAUUUAACCAGGUAGGCUAGUUGAGAACAAGUUCUCAUUUGCAACUGCGACCUGGCCAAAGAUAAAGCAUAGCCGUGUAAACCGAUCUACGUGUAUGACUUGUUAAUUGUAUUAACCCAU
rnacentral:lncRNA from 1 species